rnacentral:lncRNA from 10 species
GUCGGCCCAGGCCCCGGGGCUGGGAGGAGAGGAUGCCUUCGGAGGCGCAGAAUCCGAAAGUAUCUAAUUGUCUUUUUUCGCUGAGCAUACCAAAGAGAGUAACAAGUACAAAGUACUUGAUGUUUAAAGGAAUGCAGAAUAUCCAAUGCUACAAAAGGAACAAUGUAUCUGGAAUAAAAUGAGUGAAGGGGAUAGUGAUACAAGGAGAAGUUGAAAAGAGAUGUGGUUGGAGCUGGAAGCUGUUAUCCUCAGCAAACUAAUGCAGGAGGAGAAAACCAAAUACUGCAAGUUCUCACUUAUAAGUGGGAACUGAAUGAUGAGAACAUUUGGACAUGAAGCUGGGCAGAGAAAUCGAGCUGCAAAAUGACCUACAGAUAUUACAGUUUUAUUCUUGGAAAAUGGAGGUUGUCUAUUAGUGUGAUGGUAACAACCAACUAAUAAAAUUUGGAGACUAGACUGCUUGUCAUGUCUGGGGUUCACUGGAA